GUAAUAGUAUUAUGUAAGUCGCUCUGGAUAAGAGCGUCUGCUAAAUUACUAAAG
rfam:Salmo salar isolate Sally breed double haploid chromosome ssa20, whole genome shotgun sequence.